GUACACUCCUGCGGGAGGCAGCAGUGGGGAAUUUUGGACAAUGGGCGAAAGCCUGAUCCAGCAAUGCCGCGUGAGUGAAGAAGGCCUUCGGGUUGUAAAGCUCUUUUGUCAGGGAAGAAACGGUGAGAGCUAAUAUCUUUUGCUAAUGACGGUACCUGAAGAAUAAGCACCGGCUAACUACGUGCCAGCAGCCGCGGUAAUACGUAGGGUGCAAGCGUUAAUCGGAAUUACUGGGCGUAAAGCGUGCGCAGGCGGUUUUGUAAGUCUGAUGUGAAAUCCCCGGGCUCAACCUGGGAAUUGCAUUGGAGACUGCAAGGCUAGAAUCUGGCAGAGGGGGGUAGAAUUCCACGUGUAGCAGUGAAAUGCGUAGAUAUGUGGAGGAACACCGAUGGCGAAGGCAGCCCCCUGGGUCAAGAUUGACGCUCAUGCACGAAAGCGUGGGGAGCAAACAGGAUUAGAUACCCGAGUAGUCCCAUGA
rnacentral:rRNA from 1 species